UUUCCGUAGGUGAACCUGCGGAAGGAUCAUUAUUGUAUAACCGAGGGUCGAGGUCGGGCUCUUACGCGAGUGGUCGUGCACGCACGAUUUCUAUCACAGACAUCCAUCUCACGCCUAUGUUCGCCACCGCGUGGGUCCCCCUUUUACUUGUUCGGACGGGAGCUUACGUUCUCACACAUACUUUUUAUUCAGUGUAGAAUGUCUUUUUUGUUUUUGCGAUCACGCAAGCAAUACAACUUUCAACAACGGUUCUGUUGGCUCUCGCAUGGAUGAGGAAAC
rnacentral:misc_RNA from 1 species